AACGUAGGGGACGAGCGUUAUCCGGAUUUACUGGGCGUAAAGCGCCCGUAGGCGGCUUUUUAAGUUGGACGUGAAAGCUCCCGGCUUAACUGGGAGAGGCCGUUCAAAACUGAGAGGCUAGAGUGAGGCAGAGGAGCGCGGAAUUCCCGGUGUAGUGGUGGAAUGCGUAGAUAUCGGGAGGAACACCAGUGGCGAAAGCGGCGCUCUGGGCCUAAACUGACGCUGAGGGGCGAAAGCGUGGGGAGCAAACAGG
rnacentral:rRNA from 1 species